rnacentral:piRNA from 1 species
UGAAGAACUAAUGCCGAAAGUAACUGU